rnacentral:rRNA from 1 species
GACGAACGCUGGCGGCGUGCUUAACACAUGCAAGUCGAACGGAAAGGCUCCAGCUUGCUGGAGUACUCGAGUGGCGAACGGGUGAGUAACACGUGGGUGAUCUGCCCUGCACUUCGGGAUAAGCCUGGGAAACUGGGUCUAAUACCGGAUAGGACAGCACUUUGGUGUGUGUGGUGGAAAGGUUUUUCUGGUGUGGGAUGAGCUCGCGGCCUAUCAGUUUGUUGGUGGGGUAAUGGCCUACCAAGACGGCGACGGGUAGCCGGCCUGAGAGGGUGGACGGUCACAUUGGGACUGAGAUACGGCCCAGACUCCUACGGGAGGCAGCAGUGGGGAAUAUUGCACAAUGGGGGAAACCCUGAUGCAGCGACGCCGCGUGGGGGAUGAAGGCCUUCGGGUUGUAAACUCCUUUCGCUAGGGACGAAGCUUUUUGUGACGGUACCUGGAGAAGAAGCACCGGCUAACUACGUG